UUUUUUGAAAAUAGCAAAUAGCUAAUACUUUAUUGCUGUGGGAAAAAUUCAAACGGUUACAGGCCUAGUAACCAGAAACUAACAGCUGUAAACAAAAUAUAGGGUACCUAAACGGUACAUUUAAAAGCUAAACAAAAGAAAGAAAAACCAUUAAAUCAACAGUACGAAAUGAGCCGACAGAAAAUAAAAAGCGCAGGCCUGAGUCCCUUUCUCACUUUUGCUUGAAAAAUCCCUCUUUUUCAGCCAAAUGAGAGACCAUUCUUCUUCUAAUAUCAAUCUAUGAAAUCUCCGUCUCUGUUAACAACUCGAGCUCUUCGGGCCAAUCCCUUGCCAACCCGUCCGGACUCUGAUUCACCAUUCAACGACCGUUAGCAUCUCGACUUCUCUCGCAAUCUACCAGUUCAACCACCUCGAUCGGUGCCUCCUCUAUCCAGUAUUGGGGGCUUUCGUAUUGUCUUCCUGCUCGCGCCAUUCCACGAACCGCGUUGUUAGCCUCCCUGGGUAUAUAUUUGAAGCUCAGACUUUUGAAUCUACGGGUUCUCCCUUUUAUUUCUCUAAUUAAACUACUUAUGUUCGACAGGUCAUCAUCAGGGGAUUUAAGUUUGCGUAUGACAGUCAACGCGUCUCCUUCCACCACAACGUCUUGGAAGCCCAUUUCCUCUGCCAUAGUGACUGCUUGUAGACACGCUCUUGCCUCCGCCAUAACUGGCUCUGGAACAUUCUUCCAUGGAAAGUGUAGAUUUUUAAAAUUAUAUAAAUAAUCGGCUAACACAAGGGAUAUGAAAUGUGAAUAAUUUAUUUAAUUGAUUUUAAAAUUUAAAUUUUCAAUAAUAAAAUAAUAAAUUUAGGAUUUUCAAUAAUGAGAUAAAUAAAUAUAAUUAAAUUGUAUGCAUUAUUUUAGUUUAUACCGUUUCUUUUUUACCUUGACCAAUAUUUAAAAAAGAUUUUUUUGUGAUCAAAAUAAAAGUGACCUAAAAGUUG
rnacentral:lncRNA from 1 species